GUGUAGGGGCGGCAGGUAGCCUAGAGGUUAGGGUGUAGGGGCGGCAGGUAGCCUAGCGGUUCGGGUGUAGGGGCGGCAGGUAGCCUAGCGGUUAGAGUGUAGGGACGGCAGGUAGCCUAGCGGUUAGAGUGUAGGGACGGCAGGUAGCCUAGCGGUUAGAGUGUAGGGACGGCAGGUAGCCUAGCGGUUAGAGUGUAGGGACGGCAGGUAGCCUAGCGGUUAGAGUGUAGGGACGGCAGGUAGCCUAGCGGUUAGAGUGUAGGGACGGCAGGUAGCCUAGCGGUUAGAGUGUAGGGACGGCAGGUAGCCUAGCGGUUAGAGUGUAGGGACGGCAGGUAGCCUAGCGGUUAGAGUGUAGGGACGGCAGGUAGCCUAGCGGUUAGAGUGUAGGGACGGCAGGUAG